CACGAACCGGACAAACGUUAUUCGGAAUCACUGGGCUUAAAGGGUGCGUAGGCGGCCUGACAAGUUGGGUGUGAAAUCCCUCGGCUCAACCGAGGAAUUGCGCUCAAAACUGUUGGGCUAGAGGGAGUUAGAGGUAAGCGGAACUUAGGGUGGAGCGGUGAAAUGCGUUGAUAUCCUAAGGAACACCAGUGGCGAAAGCGGCUUACUGGAGCUCUUCUGACGCUGAGGCACGAAAGCUAGGGGAGCGAACGGGAUUAGAUACCCCGGUAGUCCUAGCCGUAAACGAUGAGCACUGGAUCGGAGGACACUCCAUAGUCUUCUGGUCGUAGCGAAAGUGUUAAGUGCUCCGCCUGGGGAGUAUGGUCGCAAGGCUGAA
rnacentral:rRNA from 1 species